rnacentral:rRNA from 1 species
GGGUUGUGAGGUUAAGCGACUAAGCGUACACGGUGGAUGCCCUGGCAGUCAGAGGCGAUGAAGGACGUGCUAAUCUGCGAUAAGCGUCGGUAAGGUGAUAUGAACCGUUAUAACCGGCGAUUUCCGAAUGGGGAAACCCAGUGUGAUUCGACACACUAUCAUUAACUGAAUCCAUAGGUUAAUGAGGCGAACCGGGGGAACUGAAACAUCUAAGUACCCCGAGGAAAAGAAAUCAACCGAGAUUCCCCCAGUAGCGGCGAGCGAACGGGGAGCAGCCCAGAGCCUGAAUCAGUGUGUGUGUUAGUGGAAGCGUCUGGAAAGGCGCGCGAUACAGGGUGACAGCCCCGUACACAAAAAUGCACAUGCUGUGAGCUCGAUGAGUAGGGCGGGACACGUGGUAUCCUGUCUGAAUAUGGGGGGACCAUCCUCCAAGGCUAAAUACUCCUGACUGACCGAUAGUGAACCAGUACCGUGAGGGAAAGGCGAAAAGAACCCCGGCGAGGGGAGUGAAAAAGAACCUGAAACCGUGUACGUACAAGCAGUGGGAGCACAGAGCAAUCUGUGUGACUGCGUACCUUUUGUAUAAUGGGUCAGCGACUUAUAUUCUGUAGCAAGGUUAACCGAAUAGGGGAGCCGAAGGGAAACCGAGUCUUAACUGGGCGUUAAGUUGCAGGGUAUAGACCCGAAACCCGGUGAUCUAGCCAUGGGCAGGUUGAAGGUUGGGUAACACUAACUGGAGGACCGAACCGACUAAUGUUGAAAAAUUAGCGGAUGACUUGUGGCUGGGGGUGAAAGGCCAAUCAAACCGGGAGAUAGCUGGUUCUCCCCGAAAGCUAUUUAGGUAGCGCCUCGUGAAUUCAUCUCCGGGGGUAGAGCACUGUUUCGGCAAGGGGGUCAUCCCGACUUACCAACCCGAUGCAAACUGCGAAUACCGGAGAAUGUUAUCACGGGAGACACACGGCGGGUGCUAACGUCCGUCGUGAAGAGGGAAACAACCCAGACCGCCAGCUAAGGUCCCAAAGUCAUGGUUAAGUGGGAAACGAUGUGGGAAGGCCCAGACAGCCAGGAUGUUGGCUUAGAAGCAGCCAUCAUUUAAAGAAAGCGUAAUAGCUCACUGGUCGAGUCGGCCUGCGCGGAAGAUGUAACGGGGCUAAACCAUGCACCGAAGCUGCGGCAGCGACGCUUAUGCGUUGUUGGGUAGGGGAGCGUUCUGUAAGCCUGUGAAGGUGUGCUGUGAGGCAUGCUGGAGGUAUCAGAAGUGCGAAUGCUGACAUAAGUAACGAUAAAGCGGGUGAAAAGCCCGCUCGCCGGAAGACCAAGGGUUCCUGUCCAACGUUAAUCGGGGCAGGGUGAGUCGACCCCUAAGGCGAGGCCGAAAGGCGUAGUCGAUGGGAAACAGGUUAAUAUUCCUGUACUUGGUGUUACUGCGAAGGGGGGACGGAGAAGGCUAUGUUGGCCGGGCGACGGUUGUCCCGGUUUAAGCGUGUAGGCUGGUUUUCCAGGCAAAUCCGGAAAAUCAAGGCUGAGGCGUGAUGACGAGGCACUACGGUGCUGAAGCAACAAAUGCCCUGCUUCCAGGAAAAGCCUCUAAGCAUCAGGUAACAUCAAAUCGUACCCCAAACCGACACAGGUGGUCAGGUAGAGAAUACCAAGGCGCUUGAGAGAACUCGGGUGAAGGAACUAGGCAAAAUGGUGCCGUAACUUCGGGAGAAGGCACGCUGAUAUGUAGGUGAAGUCCCUCGCGGAUGGAGCUGAAAUCAGUCGAAGAUACCAGCUGGCUGCAACUGUUUAUUAAAAACACAGCACUGUGCAAACACGAAAGUGGACGUAUACGGUGUGACGCCUGCCCGGUGCCGGAAGGUUAAUUGAUGGGGUUAGCGGUAACGCGAAGCUCUUGAUCGAAGCCCCGGUAAACGGCGGCCGUAACUAUAACGGUCCUAAGGUAGCGAAAUUCCUUGUCGGGUAAGUUCCGACCUGCACGAAUGGCGUAAUGAUGGCCAGGCUGUCUCCACCCGAGACUCAGUGAAAUUGAACUCGCUGUGAAGAUGCAGUGUACCCGCGGCAAGACGGAAAGACCCCGUGAACCUUUACUAUAGCUUGACACUGAACAUUGAGCCUUGAUGUGUAGGAUAGGUGGGAGGCUUUGAAGUGUGGACGCCAGUCUGCAUGGAGCCGACCUUGAAAUACCACCCUUUAAUGUUUGAUGUUCUAACGUUGACCCGUAAUCCGGGUUGCGGACAGUGUCUGGUGGGUAGUUUGACUGGGGCGGUCUCCUCCUAAAGAGUAACGGAGGAGCACGAAGGUUGGCUAAUCCUGGUCGGACAUCAGGAGGUUAGUGCAAUGGCAUAAGCCAGCUUGACUGCGAGCGUGACGGCGCGAGCAGGUGCGAAAGCAGGUCAUAGUGAUCCGGUGGUUCUGAAUGGAAGGGCCAUCGCUCAACGGAUAAAAGGUACUCCGGGGAUAACAGGCUGAUACCGCCCAAGAGUUCAUAUCGACGGCGGUGUUUGGCACCUCGAUGUCGGCUCAUCACAUCCUGGGGCUGAAGUAGGUCCCAAGGGUAUGGCUGUUCGCCAUUUAAAGUGGUACGCGAGCUGGGUUUAGAACGUCGUGAGACAGUUCGGUCCCUAUCUGCCGUGGGCGCUGGAGAACUGAGGGGGGCUGCUCCUAGUACGAGAGGACCGGAGUGGACGCAUCACUGGUGUUCGGGUUGUCAUGCCAAUGGCACUGCCCGGUAGCUAAAUGCGGAAGAGAUAAGUGCUGAAAGCAUCUAAGCACGAAACUUGCCCCGAGAUGAGUUCUCCCUGACUCCUUGAGAGUCCUGAAGGAACGUUGAAGACGACGACGUUGAUAGGCCGGGUGUGUAAGCGCAGCGAUGCGUUGAGCUAACCGGUACUAAUGAACCGUGAGGCUUAACCUUACAACGCCGAAGCUGUU